ACCACUGAGUACCAAGCAGGAGUGGGUGAUCGAUGAUAGAAUUUACAACGGGACAAAGAGACCAGAAAUUCCUCUGACAAUUGUUGCUGAGGGAGCAAACUCUCAAAUGUGGCACAAGUAAGAAUUCUGUGGAACCUGAAAGCUUGCACACUCGUCAAAUUAUACAGUCAGGUACCUCAUUGGGAAAGAUAGUGAUUUGUUUGCACCCUGGACAAGAAAGCUUUCUAUUUGCACUCUAUGCACUGAAUUACUGAAGGUGGGAGCAUUCUUGCAUGUGUGGGGGAAAUCAUGGACUCGCCCACAUUGACAACAGCCAAACUAAGGAUUUGGGGGCUGUACCAAGUCUGCUGAAACUUCCCUCUUAUGCAUGAAUGGUUUGGUUCUGGCUAUCUUAAGGACCCACACUCUGCUAAUAAGUUGGCUUAAAUUAGUGCAUGUAAAAUAGAAGCUGUCAUGCUGGGAAAGAGGAAAGGCACAUUCAGGAGAGCCUGGAGGUCACUCCCCACUCCUGCCACAGAAUCCGACAGCAUGCGUGCAGAUGGUUUGGAAUCCUUGCUUUGCUCAUCAGUGCUGCACUGUAA